UUAAGCGACUAAGCGUACACGGUGGAUGCCCUGGCAGUCAGAGGCGAUGAAGGACGUGCUAAUCUGCGAAAAGCGUCGGUAAGGUGAUAUGAACCGUUAUAACCGGCGAUGUCCGAAUGGGGAAACCCAGUGCAAUUCGUUGCACUAUCGUUAACUGAAUACAUAGGUUAACGAGGCGAACCGGGGGAACUGAAACAUCUAAGUACCCCGAGGAAAAGAAAUCAACCGAGAUUCCCCCAGUAGCGGCGAGCGAACGGGGAGCAGCCCAGAGUCUGAAUCAGCUUGUGUGUUAGUGGAACGGUCUGGAAAGUCCGACGGUACAGGGUGAUAGUCCCGUACACCAAAAUGCACAGGCUGUGAACUCGAAGAGUAGGGCGGGACACGUGGUAUCCUGUCUGAAUAUGGGGGGACCAUCCUCCAAGGCUAAAUACUCCUGACUGACCGAUAGUGAACCAGUACCGUGAGGGAAAGGCGAAAAGAACCCGGCGAGGGGAGUGAAAAAGAACCUGAAACCGUGUACGUACAAGCAGUGGGAGCACCUUCGGGUGUGACUGCGUACCUUUUGUAUAAUGGGUCAGCGACUUAUAUUCUGUAGCAAGGUUAACCGUAUAGGGGAGCCGCAGGGAAACCGAGUCUUAACUGGGCGUUAAGUUGCAGGGUAUAGACCCGAAACCCGGUGAUCUAGCCAUGGGCAGGUUGAAGGUUGGGUAACACUAACUGGAGGACCGAACCGACUAAUGUUGAAAAAUUAGCGGAUGACUUGUGGCUGGGGGUGAAAGGCCAAUCAAACCGGGAGAUAGCUGGUUCUCCCCGAAAGCUAUUUAGGUAGCGCCUCGUGAAUUCAUCUUCGGGGGUAGAGCACUGUUUCGGCUAGGGGGUCAUCCCGACUUACCAACCCGAUGCAAACUACGAAUACCGAAGAAUGUUAUCACGGGAGACACACGGCGGGUGCUAACGUCCGUCGUGAAGAGGGAAACAACCCAGACCGCCAGCUAAGGUCCCAAAGUCAUGGUUAAGUGGGAAACGAUGUGGGAAGGCACAGACAGCCAGGAUGUUGGCUUAGAAGCAGCCAUCAUUUAAAGAAAGCGUAAUAGCUCACUGGUCGAGUCGGCCUGCGCGGAAGAUGUAACGGGGCUAAACCAUGCACCGAAGCUGCGGCAGCGACACUAUGUGUUGUUGGGUAGGGGAGCGUUCUGUAAGCCUGCGAAGGUGACCUGUGAGGGUUGCUGGAGGUAUCAGAAGUGCGAAUGCUGACAUAAGUAACGAUAAAGCGGGUGAAAAGCCCGCUCGCCGGAAGACCAAGGGUUCCUGUCCAACGUUAAUCGGGGCAGGGUGAGUCGACCCCUAAGGCGAGGCCGAAAGGCGUAGUCGAUGGGAAACAGGUUAAUAUUCCUGUACUUGGUGUUACUGCGAAGGGGGGACGGAGAAGGCUAUGUUAGCCGGGCGACGGUUGUCCCGGUUUAAGCAUGUAGGCUGGUUAUCCAGGCAAAUCCGGAUAAUCAAGGCUGAGGUGUGAUGACGAGGCACUACGGUGCUGAAGUAACAAAUGCCCUGCUUCCAGGAAAAGCCUCUAAGCAUCAGGUAACAUCAAAUCGUACCCCAAACCGACACAGGUGGUCAGGUAGAGAAUACCAAGGCGCUUGAGAGAACUCGGGUGAAGGAACUAGGCAAAAUGGUGCCGUAACUUCGGGAGAAGGCACGCUGGUGUGUAGGUGAAGUCCCUGCGGAUGGAGCUGAGACCAGUCGAAGAUACCAGCUGGCUGCAACUGUUUAUUAAAAACACAGCACUGUGCAAACACGAAAGUGGACGUAUACGGUGUGACGCCUGCCCGGUGCCGGAAGGUUAAUUGAUGGGGUUAUCCGUAAGGAGAAGCUCUUGAUCGAAGCCCCGGUAAACGGCGGCCGUAACUAUAACGGUCCUAAGGUAGCGAAAUUCCUUGUCGGGUAAGUUCCGACCUGCACGAAUGGCGUAAUGAUGGCCAGGCUGUCUCCACCCGAGACUCAGUGAAAUUGAACUCGCUGUGAAGAUGCAGUGUACCCGCGGCAAGACGGAAAGACCCCGUGAACCUUUACUAUAGCUUGACACUGAACAUUGAGCCUUGAUGUGUAGGAUAGGUGGGAGGCUUUGAAGCGUGGACGCCAGUCUGCGUGGAGCCAACCUUGAAAUACCACCCUUUAAUGUUUGAUGUUCUAACGUUGGCCCCUUACCGGGGUUGCGGACAGUGUCUGGUGGGUAGUUUGACUGGGGCGGUCUCCUCCCAAAGCGUAACGGAGGAGCACGAAGGUUAGCUAAUCCUGGUCGGACAUCAGGAGGUUAGUGCAAUGGCAUAAGCUAGCUUGACUGCGAGCGUGACGGCGCGAGCAGGUGCGAAAGCAGGUCAUAGUGAUCCGGUGGUUCUGAAUGGAAGGGCCAUCGCUCAACGGAUAAAAGGUACUCCGGGAUAACAGGCUGAUACCGCCCAAGAGUUCAUAUCGACGGCGGUGUUUGGCACCUCGAUGUCGGCUCAUCACAUCCUGGGGCUGAAGUAGGUCCCAAGGGUAUGGCUGUUCGCCAUUUAAAGUGGUACGCGAGCUGGGUUUAGAACGUCGUGAGACAGUUCGGUCCCUAUCUGCCGUGGGCGCUGGAGAAUUGAGGGGGGCUGCUCCUAGUACGAGAGGACCGGAGUGGACGCAUCACUGGUGUUCGGGUUGUCAUGCCAAUGGCACUGCCCGGUAGCUAAAUGCGGAAGAGAUAAGUGCUGAAAGCAUCUAAGCACGAAACUUGCCCCGAGAUGAGUUCUCCCUGAGACUUUAAGUCUCCUGAAGGAACGUUAAAGACGAUGACGUUGAUAGGCCGGGUGUGUAAGCGCAGCGAUGCGUUGAGCUAACCGGUACUAAUGAACCGUGAGGCUUAACCUU
rnacentral:rRNA from 1 species